CUUUUGCUUCUUUUGCCCAAGAAAGUUACGCCUUCUCCUUCAGUGAGCAUGAAAUUUCGCUAUGCCAUGGUGUGUUCAUCGAAUCAGAAUCGAAGCAUGGAGGCUCACUCACUGCUCAAGAGGCAAGGCUUUGAUGUGUCCUCCUAUGGAACAGGGUCCCAUGUUAAGCUCCCUGGACCCUCCCUCAGAGAGCCAAAUGUCUAUGAUUUUGGAACCCCUUACAAGCAAAUGUUCGAUGAUCUCAGGCGC
rnacentral:misc_RNA from 1 species